GGGUGCGAUCGUACCAGCACUAAUGCACCGGAUCCCAUCAGAGCUCCGCAGUUAAGCGCGCUUGGGCAAGAGUAGUACUAGGAUGGGUGACCUCCUGGGAUGUCCUCGUGUUGCACCAC
rnacentral:rRNA from 1 species